rnacentral:tRNA from 1 species
UCCCUGGUGGCUCAGUUGGUAAAGAAUCUGCCUACAAUGCAGGAGACCUGGGUUCAAUCCCUGGGCUUGGGAA